rnacentral:rRNA from 1 species
AUUGAACGCUGGCGGCAUGCCUUACACAUGCAAGUCGAACGGCAGCACGGGGGCAACCCUGGUGGCGAGUGGCGAACGGGUGAGUAAUGCAUCGGAAUGUGCCCAGUAGUGGGGGAUAACCCGGCGAAAGCCGGGCUAAUACCGCAUACGACCUACGGGUGAAAGCGGGGGACCGUAAGGCCUCGCGCUAUUGGAGCGGCCGAUGUCUGAUUAGCUAGUUGGCGGGGUAAAGGCCCACCAAGGCGACGAUCAGUAGCUGGUCUGAGAGGACGACCAGCCAAACUGGGAGUGAGAAAAGGGCCAGACUCCUACGGGAGGCAGCAGUGGGGAAUUUUGGACAAUGGGCGCAAGCCUGAUCCAGCCAUGCCGCGUGCGGGAAGAAGGCCUUCGGGUUGUAAACCGCUUUUGGCAGGAACGAAACGGCGCAAGCUAAUAACUUGCGCUAAUGACGGUACCUGCAGAAUAAGCACCGGCUAACUACGUGCCAGCCGCCGCAGUAACAC